GUACUGCUGAAGAGUCCCAAACUAGGACAACAGAAACAGCUGUCCAGUAC
rfam:Trichobilharzia regenti genome assembly, scaffold: TRE_scaffold0016548